GCCGACGUGGUGGAAUUGGUAGACACGCUGUCUUGAGGGGGCAGUGGCGAUAGCCGUGCCAGUUCGAGUCUGGCCGUCGGCACCA
rnacentral:tRNA from 1 species